rfam:Arabidopsis thaliana chromosome 5, complete sequence.
UGGAUGAAGACAGAGAAGUGGAGCUUGACACUAGCAUAUAUCAUUGUAGUGAAUAUGUACCUCCAGCGAGGGAGAGCAAGAGCUUGAGUGUAACAACAACAAGCUACAGAAGUGGUGCAAGAAACAGGACAAGCUACUCGCCAAGUGCUUCAAAACUAUCAAGUUCCUAAUAGAUAAGUUGAGCUGCUCCUCUUCCACUACAGUUAUCCCA